rnacentral:rRNA from 1 species
UACGAAGGGGGCUAGCGUUGCUCGGAAUUACUGGGCGUAAAGCGUGCGCAGGCGGUGAUGUAAGACAGGUGUGAAAUCCCGGGGCUCAACCUCGGAACUGCAUUUGUGACUGCAUCGCUGGAGUGCGGCAGAGGGGGAUGGAAUUCCGCGUGUAGCAGUGAAAUGCGUAGAUAUGCGGAGGAACACCGAUGGCGAAGGCAAUCCCCUGGGCCUGCACUGACGCUCAUGCACGAAAGCGUGGGGAGCAAACAGG